rnacentral:rRNA from 1 species
UACGUAGGUGGCAAGCGUUUGUCCGGAAUUAUUGGGCGUAAAGCGCGCGCAGGCGGUCCCUUAAGUCUGAUGUGAAAGCCCACGGCUCAACCGUGGAGGGUCAUUGGAAACUGGGGGACUUGAGUACAGAAGAGGAAAGCGGAAUUCCACGUGUAGCGGUGAAAUGCGUAGAUAUCGGGAGGAACACCAGUGGCGAAAGGCGGC